CCGAGGGGUGGCAGCAGUGGGGAAUAUUGGGCAAUGGGCGCAAGCCUGACCCAGCAACGCCGCGUGAGGGAAGAAGGUUUUCGGAUUGUAAACCUCUGUCCUUGGGGACGAAAAAAAUGACGGUACCCAAGGAGGAAGCUCCGGCUAACUACGUGCCAGCAGCCGCGGUAAUACGUAGGGAGCAAGCGUUGUCCGGAAUUACUGGGCGUAAAGGGUGCGUAGGCGGCAAGGCAAGUCAGAUGUGAAAUCCCCGGGCUUAACUCGGGGGGUGCAUUUGAAACUGCUUUGCUUGAGUGCAGGAGAGGAAAGCGGAAUUCCUAGUGUAGCGGUGAAAUGCGUAGAUAUUAGGAGGAACACCAGUGGCGAAGGCGGCUUUCCGGACUGCAACUGACGCUGAGGCACGAAAGCGUGGGGAGCAAACA
rnacentral:rRNA from 1 species